rnacentral:rRNA from 1 species
GUGGGGAAUUUUGGACAAUGGGCGAAAGCCUGAUCCAGCCAUGCCGCGUGCAGGAUGAAGGCCUUCGGGUUGUAAACUGCUUUUGUACGGAACGAAAAGACUCCUUCUAAUAAAGGGGGUCCAUGACGGUACCGUAAGAAUAAGCACCGGCUAACUACGUGCCAGCAGCCGCGGUAAUACGUAGGGUGCAAGCGUUAAUCGGAAUUACUGGGCGUAAAGCGUGCGCAGGCGGUUAUAUAAGACAGAUGUGAAAUCCCCGGGCUCAACCUGGGAACUGCAUUUGUGACUGUAUAGCUAGAGUACGGUAGAGGGGGAUGGAAUUCCGCGUGUAGCAGUGAAAUGCGUAGAUAUGCGGAGGAACACCGAUGGCGAAGGCAAUCCCCUGGACCUGUACUGACGCUCAUGCACGAAAGCGUGGGGAACAAACAGGAUUAGAAACCCUAGUAGUCC